rnacentral:rRNA from 1 species
ACUACAGGGUGCAGCAGUGGGGAAUAUUGCACAAUGGGGGAAACCCUGAUGCAGCGACGCCGCGUGAGUGAAGAAGUAUUUCGGUACGUAAAGCUCUAUCAGCAGGGAAGAAAAUGACGGUACCUGACUAAGAAGCCCCGGCUAACUACGUGCCAGCAGCCGCGGUAAUACGUAGGGGGCAAGCGUUAUCCGGAUUUACUGGGUGUAAAGGGAGCGUAGACGGCAGCGCAAGUCUGGAGUGAAAUCCCAUGGCUUAACCAUGGAACUGCUUUGGAAACUGUGCAGCUAGAGUGCAGGAGAGGUAAGCGGAAUUCCUAGUGUAGCGGUGAAAUGCGUAGAUAUUAGGAGGAACACCAGUGGCGAAGGCGGCUUACUGGACUGUAACUGACGUUGAGGCUCGAAAGCGUGGGGAGCAAACAGGAUUAGAUACCCUUGUAGUC